AUGUUUGUUGUUUGUCUUUGUAAAUAAGAAUUAUAACGAAUACGAAAGUAAAUAAGAAGAGAUCAUAGAAUAUGUUUUAAUAUAUAAUACGUAUAAAUAGAACCAGACGAAAGUCAAUUCUCCUUGAAUUCAGAUAUUUACUCUUUCUUUCUUUCUUUCUUUCUUUCUCUUUUUUUUUUAAUCUUUUUCUCCAAAUUAAAUAUCUCGACGCUCAAUAAACGAGCACAUUUCAGAUUUGAUCGAAUUAAUAUCGAAUUUUAUUGAUAACCGAAUAUUUUUGUUACGGGACGCGACGACAGAGGAAGAAACGAAAGUGCGCAGAAUCUUUCGAUGAAGAUUUUUCAAAUGACUUGAAUGAAUAUAAAAACACGAUAGAUAAAUAGAUAGAUAGAUAGAUAGAUAGAUAGAUAGAUCGAGAGAGAAAAAGGGAGAAUCGUGUACAUUAACAAACGUGAAAUACGUUAACUCUGAACAUUAUCGAAAGUAAAUUACGUUCCCGUAAAAGGAGAAUAAUUAAUGUAUGAACGCGAAGUAAAGGGACGCGGCUCGAAAGAAUAUUCAUUCUUGUAAGGAUCAUUUUGAGAAGUUUCGAGGACGAAAGUCGUUCGAACGUGCCUGCAACAGGUUGCAUAGCUGGUGAGAAGAGAGCUGAUGACGACGCCGCUCUCAUAUCCACUGUACGGUCGACGCACUCGCCUUUGCACGUACGCACACAGCAGAACAUGCGGCAUGCGUGCACGCGAGAAAGAGGAGGGGGAGAGAGAGAGAGAGAAAGAGAGAGAGAAAGGCGGUGCGCGUCCCUACUACUAUCGCCGGCACGCGAACCGAGAAUGCAAGGUUAUCCACGAAUAUUAGAUACACCUCGACAUCGUGUACGCGAGUUAUAACACGAUUUAUCGAACGCGCUCAUUCGUUCCCGGGCCACAUGUUGUCCGAUAUAUAUCGACGAAGACUCGUUUUACUUUCACUCCUACCACUUCAUUCCUUCGUCGUCAUUUGUAAAAGAAAAGAAAGAGAAUAAGCACGAUCAGCUCCUAUAUAUAUAUAUAUAUAUAUAUAUAUAUGCAUCUUUGAUUCGUAACGAUUCACAUGAUCUUGAACGCAAAAAUAAAAUCAGUAAGAAUAUGAACGACACCAAUACGACAACGACGCGCGAUAGCAAACAUAUAAUCGGAAGAAAUGCCAGUGCUAUUCGAUCGAGGAGGAGGGGAAUCAGAAAGAGACGGUUAAGGAGAGACAAAUAGAAAGAGAUAGAUAGAUAGAGAGAGAGAGAGAGAGAGAGAGAGAGAGAGAGAGAGAGAGAGAGAGAGAGAGAAAGAAAGAGAGAGAUGGAGAAGACGCAUCAUGGAAACGAGUCGGUAUAACAUGAGGCGUCACGCGAUGCUCGUUUCGAGCGAAAUAAUUUGUUCCCGUGGGCAAAAGACGAUGCUACGAUUCGCGUGAAUUCCAAUGGCGAGAGAAGGACAUGAACAGAGAGAGAAAGAGAAAGAGAGAGAGAGAGAGAGAGAGAGAGAGAGAGAAAAUCUAGCGAGUGACGAUGAAGACAGCGCUAUCCAACCGGAAACGCUCCUCUCGUUCGACGAAAGGUCUAGAGAUUACGAAUUGGAGAGGGGAGAUGAACCAAACGGAAUCUCAGGCCGUUGAAGAGAAAUCUACCGACUCGAUCUCUCGAUCUCUCUCUCUCUCUCUCUCUCUCUCUCUCUUCCUCUCUUUCUCUCUCUUUCUUCCUUGACGCGCCACGAUUUUCCAUCAUCCUUAGACGAUAAGAAUGGAAUGAACACAUGUAAAAAUGAUCACUAUGGAUUCCCGCGCAUAGAAUACACACACGAAAUCAGGGAAACGAAAGCAACAGGUCGUCGUCGUCUAUCCUGCGCGUAAACUCACUCACGACUACAGCGGCGCUCCAUUAUGGCCGACGCGCGAGCGAACGGAGCGACGUAGGACGCCGCUUUCGAAAGGCAACUCUCUAUUAUUCGAUUCGGAGACGAUGAAAAUAAUUUAAAUAAUUCAUCGAAGAAUUUUGGAUGAUUGUAACAACAAUGGUUUUCUUUCUUUUUUUGGACAACGUCGAAAUAUCAAAUGGAGGAGAAUACUAUUGAGAGAGGAAGGGGAGAGACCAUUCACGACUCUCGCGCUCUCUCUCACUUUCUCUCUCUCUCUCUCUCUCUCCCUCUCUCUCUCUCUCUCUCUCUCUCUCUCUCCCUCUCGCAAAUGAUAUUUUAAGGAUAAAACACUUGGAAAAGAGAAACAAAUAACAGAGGAACCACAAAGAAAAUCAAAACAAUUGCCACGACACGAACGCGCACAUCCCGAUACGAAAAGACAUUUUCGAGUAUGAAAUAACAAAAAAAAAAAAAAGAUGCUCUGGCAAGCUCAAAUCGAAUACAUGACCGGCAUCGGCGCAUCGACGAUGCCAGAGCCUGGCUGGGUCCUUGAAAACUGAAAUCGUGCCCUUUGAAAGAAAUCUGUUCGGCAGUUGCCGUUGGAGGGAGAUUCUCCUUCUCUCUCUCUUACACACUUCUCCUUCUUCCCCUUGCCAGCUCGUCAUUCUCUCUUUCUUUUUCACGCGCACAUACAUGUAUACAUACAUACAUGUCCUCCCUUCUCUCACUCGUUGGAGAAGAACAUAACCGACCGCUCUCCAUCUCUCCUACCCUUCCGCCUGUCUAGUGUCCUUUGUGGGAGAGCGUUCGAGCGAGAGCGAACCGGAGGGAGAGAAAUAAUGGCGGGGCGAUCUACCUGGACGAUUUUUAUGGCGGGAAUUACGGUGCUCGGUGAGAUCCUGCAACGACAACGCCUCGUCUCACCUCACCUCGCAAUGCUUCAUUACGAAUUGAGAAAACACCUGCACCAAGGAGAUAUUUCUUCUCUUACGGAAAGAGGAAGAAUAAAAUAAAAAAAGGACAUAGAAUAAAAAGGGAUCUUUGUGGAUUUUUGCCGAUUUUCACGAUUCAACUUACAAUUAUUUACCGUUUAAUCACGAUCGUGCAUUUUCACGAGCAAUCUACAAAAAGUUCGUUUACAAUUGUGAAUAUUAAAAUUCACUUUCGGUUUCCAACACUGGAAACCGAAUUUAUACUUGAGAUCGUACUAAAUAAAGAUUUUGGAAAAGUCUACGUUAAAUGAAGAUGUACGUACGAAGGAAACGACUGACUCGUUAAACGAUCACACGAGAACCGACCAUCAACUUGACUGAAGAAUAGCCUUAUGGACGAGCGUGGAACCAGUGCCAGGGACAGUGGCAGUGGCCAGGGCUGUACUAAGCGAUCAAAUUGCCCCAUUUAUUUAUCUAAUAACAUUCAACUAUUUCUAUACCAUCGACUUUUGUUAUUUUCUAUUAAAAUAGAGCAAAUUUUAUCUUUUUUCUGGCAUAGUUGUCGAAAUGUUGCUACAUAGAUAAAACAUUUUAUAAAUGGAAUUAAUAUUAUAAUAAAUGGAAAAAACAAAACAAAAAAAAAUGAAUAAAGUUAAAACUUAAAA